rnacentral:rRNA from 1 species
UACAGAGGGGGCAAGCGUUGUUCGGAAUUACUGGGCGUAAAGGGCGCGUAGGCGGCCUCUUAAGUCGAACGUGAAAUCCCCAGGCUCAACCUGGGAACUGCGUCCGAUACUGGGAGGCUUGAAUUCGGGAGAGGGAUGUGGAAUUCCAGGUGUAGCGGUGAAAUGCGUAGAUAUCUGGAGGAACACCGGUGGCGAAGGCGGCAUCCUGGACCGACAUUGACGCUGAGGCGCGAAAGCUGAGGGAGCAACGGGG